UACGAAGGGGGCUAGCGUUGUUCGGAAUUACUGGGCGUAAAGGGCGCGUAGGCGGCCAUUCAAGUCAGAGGUGAAAGCCCAAGGCUCAACCUUGGAACUGCCUUUGAUACUGUUUGGCUUGAGACCGGUAGAGGUAAGUGGAACUGCGAGUGUAGAGGUGAAAUUCGUAGAUAUUCGCAAGAACACCAGUGGCGAAGGCGGCUUACUGGACCGGUUCUGACGCUGAGGCGCGAAAGCGUGGGGAGCAAACAGG
rnacentral:rRNA from 1 species